CUUCCGCCGCUGAUACCGCUGUCUCUCUUCCCUCAAAUUCCCACCGCCCCCACUCUCAGCGAUCUGGCUCUCUCUCCCCCCAAAUUCCCACCGCCAUGAUUCCUCGAUCUUCCUUGCCGGCCGAAUCCAAGAUUCGUGCUACCUCCCUCUUCCUCGCCGCUGAUCGCCGUCAUUCCUCCCUCUUCCGCUGUCUCUCUUCCCUCAAAUUCCCACCGCCCCCACUCUCAGCGAUCUGGCUCUCUCUCCCCCCAAAUUCCCACCGCCAUGAUUCCUCGAUCUUCCUUGCCGGCCGAAUCCAAGAUUCGUGCUACCUCCCUCUUCCUCGCCGCUGAUCGCCGUCAUUCCUCCCUCUUCCUUGCCGCCCGACGCCGUGACCUCCAUUAAUCCCGCUGUCGAGCCGACGCCGACGCCGAGAUAAGGUUAGCCAUGGCAAGAAAGAGUUUCUAUAUUGUGAAGAGAGGUCGACGAUGUGGCAUUUUCGAUAAUUGGGAGGAAUGCAAAUCUCAAGUUGAUAAAUUCCCAAAUGCCUCCUACAAAGGGUUUCAAACGUACGAAGAAGCUUUGCUUGAAUAGGAGAAACACACCAUCACUCGUGAUUCAGCAUCCAGCUCAAGGCAUGUCCUGACACCAGUUCAAUUUUAACAACAAAUACUUCCGUUGGGACAUAAUCUGGAUGAGGACAAGGCAAAACUUGGGGAAACUGCUAUUUCCUCCAUUUAUGCUUUUGUAUUAGGUUCAGUGUUUACAAUAUUAGUGUUUCUAGUAUGUGAUGUGAUUUGUGGAUGAUUCUUCUAUGUGAGGAUAAGCUUGUAUAACUUGGGUCAUUUUGUACUGAGUUUGAACUCAAUUUUCACAAUGUUUGAAGUCAGUUUGUGGUCAUUUUUGUGCUCAGUUUGUACUCUAUCAUGAGCUUGUUUGUGCUCAAUCAUGAGCUUGUUUGUGCUCA